rnacentral:sRNA from 1 species
CCAGCAGCCAGAAGAGUGCCGGGUGCCCACUAAUUGCUUCAUAAAUAUUUAUGGAAUGGAAGAAUGAUCUUUCUUCCUGCUGCAGAUCCCUGCAGUGCUUUAUGCCAGUCUGCUGGUGCUUUGAAUAUCAAGCAUGACAGUCACGUGAUGGAGAAUGUUUGAAUUUUAUUGCUCUUUUCUUGGCAGGUUUAUGGGGAAGUGCUCUUGGUAACAAUGAAGUCAUUAGGGAAUACGUUUUUGACCAGUUAAGGAAUCUUCUGACCCCAAGAGGUUUAUGGAGAAGGGCUGUUGCUAAUGCUAAAAGCAUUGGACGCCUUAUUUUUGCCCGAUUACUGAGGCUGCAAGAAAGUUUGCAAGGGGAACAUCCUCCCCCAGAAGAUGAAGGCGGUGAGCCUGAACACACCUGG